rnacentral:lncRNA from 1 species
GGAUGGGUCCCUGCCCUGGCAGACUGACUCCAGACUUCAGCAGAGAGGAGAUAGAAUUGAGUUACAGUGCUUACAGCAUUGCUUCAGCUGAGAUGAAGGCCUGUUUCUGAGAGCACAGGUGGGCAUACUACCUGCUGGUUUCCUGGGCAGGCAAGGGCUACCUCUGGACUACAGCUGAGCAAGUCUGGAACUGGGACAUGGUGGUCUAGUCAGACCACAGUUGGCUGGCCUGCCUCCAGGAGCAUGGAUAUGUGUGUGUCCCUGUCAAUCCCUGGUGAGCAAAACAACUUGUUCCUGGUGUGUGGCUAGGGUGGGGGUUGGAGCCAACUUGUAGGGAUGGAGCUAUUUGAGGCCCUAUUAAGGGACAGAGCUGCCUACUGUCUGCCUCUGUGGAUACAGACAUGACUUCCAGUGGGUCCCUUGUUGGUCAGGGUUGCUCUCAGACUGCAGCUAAGGCAGACAGGGGUUGGGGCUAAAUUACAGGACUGCUUCAGGAUACGCAGUUGAAACUGAGGUUGGCAGGCUAGUCACUCAAGAGUGGGCAUGACCCCUCCUAGAACCCUUGGCAAUGGUGCUGGUAGUAGAACUGAGGCCAAGAGAGCCUGUUGUUCAAUGUGCAGGGAUUCAGGCUGUUACUGGGUCCAUAGCCAGAACAACAUUUGGCAGGCCUGCCAUUUGGAUGUGAACCUGUCCUUUCUAAACGGUGUCCCUCUGUCUUGGAUUCCAUAACCUACAACAUGCAGUUCCAUAAGGGCACUUUCAUUUGUAGAUGGCUGCCAAAUUCUAGCUGCUAUGGGUGGGACAUGAAUAGGUCACUUGUGGUCUACCAUCUUGCUGAUAUUACUCUUCUUUUAUUCCAGAACUGGGGAUUUAACUCUGGUGCUCUAUGACUGAGCUACAAUCUCAUCCAAUUUUACUUUUUAAAAAAUAUUUAUUUUUUUUAGUUGUAGUUGGACACAAUACCUUUGUUUUUAUUUAUUUUUAUGUGAUGCUGAGGAUCGACCCUAGGGCCUUGCACACACUAGGCAAGUGCUGUACCUCUGAGCCACAACCCCGGCCCUCAAUUUUACUUUGUAUUUUGAGAUUAGGGUAUCUUGAAGUUGCCCAGGUUGGCCUCAGACUUGCAAUCCUGCUGUGACAGUUUCCUGAGUAGCUGGGAUUAUAGGCUUGUGCCACUGUGCCUGGCUUCAUAUUACUCUUCUGGAACUACUACUUAUUAGUGGAAAAAUUUCAUUUAGCUUUUAUGAAUAUAUGAAUGGCUAAAUUAAAUGGUUAAAUUAUAUUUUGCAUGCAUUUCUCUGAUGGAGAUGGAGAUAAAAUUUCCUAUACAUUUUAUUUUUUAAUUUGUGUAUAGUUUAAAAAACACCCUAAUUGAACAAACUUAAACUUAUUCUUCCAAUCAACACUUCUCUCUCUCUCUCUCUCUCUCUCUCUCUCUCUCUCUCUCUCUCUCACACACACACACACACACACACACACACACUCACACACACAUCUGCUGUGAGGCUUUGAGUGUACUCACCUGAAAAUGAUCUGUAGGUUCAAUAUUUUUGGUUUGUUAGAGAUGCUAUUUAAAAAAUACCACAAACUGGGCGGCUUAAAAGCAGAAAAUGAUUUUCUCAUCAUUCUGGAAGCUGAAAGCACAAGAUCAGGCAUUGGUAGCUUUCAUUUCUAAGGUCUCUCUCAUAGGUUCACAGAAGGCCACCUUUCUUACUCUGCACUCACAUAGCUUUUUCUCUCUGUGGGUCUCCCUGGUGUGUCUGUCAAAAUUUCCUCUUUUUGUAAGGACAUCAGUCAGAUUGGGUUAGGACCCUCCCUAACAUCCUCAUUCUAACUUAUCCUCCUCUUUAAAAGUGUUCAAAUAUCGUCCCUGUCUGAAGUACUGGGAGCCAGAACUUUAUAACAUUUGAGGGCACAUAAUUUGAAUAUAGCAAAUAUAUAUUUUCUAGUUUUAGCUAUUCUGGCAUUUAUUCUUCUUAGUGUUCUGAGUUUCCUGGACCUGUAGUCUGGUGUCUGACAUUAAUUUAGGGAAAUUUUUAGUCAUUUUGCUUUAACUUAUCAUUAUUAUUAUUCUUAUUUCUGGUGUUACUAGUGAUUGAACCCAGGGCACUGUACCGCUGAGUUACAUCCACAGUCCUUUUAUUAGUUUAUUUUUCAUUUUAAGAUAGUAUCUCCCUCAGUUGUCCAGGCUGUCCUAUGAUGCUUCUGCCUCAUUUUCCUGAGUAGCAGGGAUCAUGAGUGUGUGCCACCACCCCGAGCAAUUUUUAUUAUCAGGCUUUUUUCCCUUUUUCAGUUUUGAAAUUUUCUGCUGAUAUAUUCUCAAGCUUUCUGGUCUUUCCCUUCAUCAAGUUUGGUCUACUGUCAAUCCAAUGAAAGGCAGUUCUUAAUUCUGAUAGAGUAUUUUGACAUCUAGUGUAUCUUUUUGCUUUUUCUUUGACUACUCAUAUCACUGUUUAUAUUAUUCGUCUGUUCUUGCAUGUUGUCUCCUUUUUUGCUUUAGUGUCUUUAGCACAUAUAUCACAGUUAUCUGAAAUUCCUAGUUUGAUAUUUCUAACAUCCCUGCCUAUCUUGGUGUGGCUCUGACACUUGUUCUGUCUCUUCAAUCUCUGCUUUUAGUAUUCAUCAUAAAGAUGGUUGUGACUUAUAGGGUAAGGAACUAAGGCAGAGAUACACUCAGUGAUGUGGUUGUGAGAGGUGGGUGAGGGGAGGGGCAGUACACUGCUGGGAUGAAGUCUCAGGCUUUUAGUGAAACUCUGUCACUGGGUUUGUGUUUUGUAAGAGCUUCCCAGGUUUGUCUUCCUCUCAAGUGGGAUAGGAAGGAUCAGAUGGGCUGGAGUUGGGCAUUUCCUUCUCUCGGAUAGUUGUUUACUUGAAUAAAACCAGGUUUUUAAUUCAUGCAUGCUGAGGUAGAACAUUUACAAAAUCAGACAUAUUAGUUUGCCUCAAAUGAAAUGACUCGUUUUGGGCUGUUUUGCAAACAGAAGGCUCUGCUCAUUGAUGGUAAGGCUGGUGCUUCUGCUUUUGAUUCCGUUCAGAAGGAGGCUCUGGAGUUCCCAAAUUGGCAUCCUCUAAUGAUGUAUUUCUGAGAGGAUCAAAGGUGGAGAAGACUUUUGUAGAGUUUGGAUUCUGAGAAGAAUAGAGAGAAGUGGGGAGGCUAGAAAGAGCACUGAGACUAUAGUUAAAAUGCAAGCAGAUUCUGCAGUAAAAAUAGGCAAAUUCCCCCAUCUCCCCCAUCAAAUCCUUGAAAUGAACACAGCUAUGUUGAGUAUUAGGAAAAAUUAAUAAAUAAUAUAAUUAAUAUUUACUGAAUAUUAUCUCUGGGUGGGGGCCAUCUCAUCUCUAAUACCAACGCUACUCUUCAAGAGAGUAAUUAUUGCUUCAUUUCUUCAGCUCUGGGAAGUUGAGGCCAAGAAAUAGAAAAUGAGCUGGCCAAAGAUAACAGCUUCCCAGCUCUGAGCUGGGAUGUCCACAAGAAAGCCUUUUCAAGGCAGAAUGGCCUGUGGUGCUUGUUGAAAACUCAGGUCCCUGGACCCUAUGCCUCUCAUGUUUGACUCAGUAUUUCCCAGAUGGGACCCAGUGACGCUUAUUUUUAACAAGUUUUUGUGUGAUUCUAAUGGGCAGCCUGAACAUAGCACCUCUCAAGGCAACAGAAACUCUUCAAGCAAGCCAAUGUUCAGGGUUGGAUAGGCCCACUUUAUAAGUGUGAGCAGAUAGACAUGUAGGAGUUUUGCUUGAGAAGCUUAGAGAAAUUGAAGGAAGCAGUCCUGCAGCUCAUCCCCCUGAGACUGUGAUUAGUGGCUGACAUUUUCCAAAGGAACCAGGAAGUAGUGUGGGAAUGGGAGCAGGGUUUAGGGCAUGAGAAAUGCAGGUUCAUGGGGUACAUGGGGUUGCUCCCAGGGAAAGGGAUACUUGGUUACCAAUAUUGCCCUAGUUGGGACUCAGAUGUAUAAGAAAAAAAAAUUGGAUAGAAUGGAUCUAUUUUUCUGUGGACAUUUCCCUGACUUCACACACUGAGAUAAGAUAGCCUUUCUAAUUAACUCUGCCUUUUUGGCCUAAACCCAACUGAGAAUGUACAUUUCAUUUUGUUUGCAAGGAGAUAUGAAAACUGCUAAACUUAGAAGUCAAAGAUGGGAAUAUUUGCUAAUCUGGGUAAACAGAGCUAGACAAAAGAGGUAGACUCAGGAUUCAGAGGUGGCCUUGGGUGGUAUGUGAGUUAGCUUUCCAUCACUGGGACAAAGUACCUGAGAAAAGUUACUUAAAGGGAGAAAAAAAUUAUUUUGAUUCAUAAUUUUAAGAGGUUAAAGUCUGUGGUUACUUGGCCCUAUUGCUUUGGGCCUCUGACAAGUUAGAGCAACAUGGCAGGGAGCAUGUGAUGGGUCAAAACUGCUUACUUCAUGGUGGCCAGAAAUCAGAGUAGGAGAGUUGAGAAAGGGGAUCUGGGACAAAAGUCAAAAUGUACCCUUCAAGGGCAUUCCCCCAAUGACAUAUAUCCUCCAAAUAGGGCCCACCUCCUGAAGUUUCCACCAUCUUCCAAUAGCCCACUAAGUUACAAAUCCGUCAUGAAUCCUCAUAAUUCAUUUAUGACAUCAUAACCCUUAUUAUUGAGUCACCUGCCCAAGGCCCUAGAUCUGAUCAUUGUUGCACUGGGGAACAAGUCUUCAACACAUGGACUUUGAGGAGACAUUUAAGAUUGAUACCAGAGCAUUCCACCUCCAAUCUCCAAAAUCUGAUGUCCACCUUAUUUUGUGACAAUGCAAAUUGUAUUCAGUCCAUUUCCAAGAGUUCCUAUGAAUCGAUAGUUCCAACAUGGUUCAAACAUCCAAGUUCAAAGUAUUCUUUCAAACUCAAGGCAAACUCUCUGAUGUGAACCACAAAGCAAGUUAAAUACUCCCAAGAUACAAUGCACAGGCUAAAUAUCCCCAUAUCCACAGGAAGGACUAGGAAAGUGAUAAGAAGUAAGUAAGACCAGAACCCCAGCAGGGCAAACAUCAAUUCCUGUAGCUCUAUGUUUGGCAUCUGGGUCACAUGGUUGCAUAAUGUGAGCUCUAAAGGACUUCAGCAGCCCUAAUCCCUAUCACCUUGCAAGACAAUCUCUUGGGCUGAUUAUGCAGUCUACCUACAGCUUUUAUUGGUUUUAUGUUCCUGGCAUUUCUAACAUCCUCAGGUCUCUAUUGCAGCUCACUCUUCACUCUUACAGCUUCUCUCAUCACUCUUUUAUUGGCUGUUCUCAAGGAUUCUGACCAUGCCAUGCACUGCCUGGCCUCCAGGGCUUUCCUUUGCUAUUUUGGUGGAAGCCUCCAGGACCCUGUCACUUGUGCUUUCUUCAUGCCUAUAAAAUGAGCACCCUGCAGAAGAUGCCAGGGCAUGCCACUGGCAGGAGUAAUAGCCAGAACCAUUUGGAAAGUGGCUGCAACAGCUACUGAGUUGCCUGGACAGCUGGACCAUGAGGAAUGAAUCCCCAGGAAACAAUUCUCUACACAGCCCUGAGCCGGAAGAGUGCCCUGGGGAUUUCUUCCUAAAACAAAGUCUUUGAAAUGGGUUUAUACUUUAUUACACUUGACUAGGAUGGAGGAGUAUGGCCAGUUCCUGAGAGAUCUUCAAAAGUUCUUUUCUAUAGUUGCAAUUAAAAAUAUUUGGUUUCUCUUUAAUGGAGCUAAUUUCUUAAACAACCACACCCUCCUUGGGCUCAAUCUGAAACCUUCUACUUUCUCUUGCCAAACUGCAAGGUUUAAAAGUCUUUCUGCUCUGUAAACCUGGCUAAAAUCAGCUAGCACUACCCACAUUACUACUGUGCCUGAUCUUAUCUAUUUGUUGUUUCAGAUUACUAGUCCUGGACAUGGAAAUGUAGCUAACAUGUCUGAUUACUAUACCUGGUCUGGUUAGUAUCUUUGGUUCCUGCUCAUUGUAUCUGCAUAUUGUUUCUAUGUCCUGUAGCUGAGCUGUCUGGAAAUUUUCUUCACCAGAUUAUUCUGUGACAUUGCAACUCAGCUUCAUAGAGUUUCCCAACACACAGUUCCUUGCUGGAAUGUAACAUGAAUGAAAAUGCCUCUAUUCCUAUUCCUGAGUCAUUGUUUCCAUUCAGAACACCAUCGGCACAGUCUUUACUCUUGCAUCCCUACCAGCGUUCUGUUCUUUUGAGCCACCACCAGUCACCUAUUAAGCUUCACUCACAGAGUUCUAAGAUUUUUCUAGCCUGCCUCUCCAAAUUUUUCUAAAUUCUUCCUGCAACCCAGUUCCAAAGCUUUCUGACAUACAUGGUCAGAUAAAGUUAGAGCAGUGAUCUUAUUUCUUUGCCAAUGGCUUAGGUUACUGAAUCUGGUCACAGUAUCAGGCGAAUGUCUCUGUUUGUUCUACCUGUCACUGUAUAUGGCUAAUGUCUGUGGUUUUUCUAUCUGGUUCCAGUAUCUCCUUAAUGUCUCUAGUACUGUACCUAGUCCCAAUAGCUUGCUAAUAUCUCUGUUGACUGUACCUGGUUAUGCUAUCUGAUUAUUAUUUCUGUUUACUGUAUAUGGUCCCUGUAAGUGACUAAUGUCUCUGGUAUUAGCAAGACUAAUGUUUUGCAAAUGUCUUUGUUUACUGUACCUGGCCACAAUAACUGACUAAUGUCUCUAGUUACUCUAAGUGGCCAUGUUACCAGGGCAAUGUCUCUGGUUACCAUAUAUGGGUAUUGUCUCUGUUUUCUCUACCUAAUCUUAGUACUUGGCUAAUAUCUCUUGUUCCUGAUCCUGGUUGUGCUCUCUGACUAAUAUCUCUGGUUACUCUACUUGUUCAAGUAUCUAACUAAUGCAUCUGGUUACUCUACCUUGUCCCAGGAUCUGUAUAGUGUCUCAUCUUAUUUUCCUAGUAUUAUUUCCCAGUAUCUAGGGAUUAUCUCUACCAUACCUGAUCAAGGUAUCUGGCUAAUGACUCUAGUUAGUGUACCUUGUCACACAGAACUUGGUUUUGUCUCUGAUUGCUUUAGUAUCUGAUUAUUUCCUCUGGUUACUGUGCCUGACACAGGAAGUAGAAACAGGAAUCAGACUCAAGUCAAAUUCAAGAUGACCCAAACGGCCAUCUGACUAGGUGCUUUAGAGAUGCCCUCUGGAGAUUCUUUAGACAAUAGGCCAGGGAUAUUUGGUGGAGUAGGCAGCCUACUGAUGUACUUGAGAGGGUACUGCACUGAAUUACUAGUUAUAUUGAAUCAGCCUGUCUGAAUAUCUAUGUGUAUUGCAAUCAUCAUCUUCAAUAAAUACCUAGGAGGCAGGUAGCUCCAUGUACGUGUCAGUUUGACCUAUUACUGUGCACUGGGGAGUGAGGCCUCUGAACUCAGGGUGUGAAAGAAGGAGUGAACAAGAUGGCUCACCUUUUCUGGGCCUCAGUUUCCUCCCCUACAAAAGGGAAAUAGAACUACCCAGGUUUCAAUUUGACCUUGAUCUGACCUGUACUUGGCUUACCAUGUGUUCCUGACCUUUUGUGGGUUCACACACUUAGGCUUUCUUGUACCUCCUCCCUCUAGACCCAUUUAUGUCCACAACCUUUGUCCCAGAUAAGCACUCUGUCUAGAGCAUGCUCAUAGAUCCAUCCAGGGCUGGAGGUACCUCCUCUGCUAGUUCAUUUAGAGAGAAAUCUGAUCCUGUUUUCUUUUACUUAUGUUGCUCACUGUCUUUGGAUGGGGGGGCUUCAUGUAUUUUUCACUUAAAACACAUCCUAGUAAGGGAGGAGUCCUUGUGUAUUUUCAUUGUUUGCUUCCUGUAGUUCUUUUGUCCCUAAAUUCCUGCAUGCUUUUCUUCUUUCCUGCCACAGUCUGGCUGGGCACAAAUGCCGCAGUCUGGCUGGGCACAAAAUCACGAGCCACCACACAGCUUGUAGAUUCAAACAGCAACUCUUUAUUCCCAAACUCACACCAGCCGUCUACAAUCACGUUCUGGGGAAAUCCACGUUCUCUGCCCAAAUCCACGUUCUCUGCCCAAAUCCACCUCCACUGGGCUUCUCUCUCCAAAAUAUAUUGUCUGAAUCCCGUGAGAACUCAAGGGGAACUCAGGCAGCAGGAUACGCCCUAUUCCCAGCAGGAAUAAUCUUAAACCUUAAACUUGGAACCUAAACUGGGAACGCCCUAAACACGAUUAUCUUAAAACCGGGAACACCCUAAUCUGCCUUGGUCCUUGAGCAAGGUCACGUACAUUCAAUGUCACUGCAACAUGUCAGCAACAUGGGGUAUGUUGGCAAGGAAAUUGUCAUACCUACUUGGCUAAUGGCUCCCAGCACUUUCCUGCAUAGCUGAUUUUUGUAGUAAAACAUUUGAAUUACCAUCUGUCUCAUUCUCAUCAUGUACAUUAAGUAUUUCUUUGUGGUUCCCAUGGAGCUCUGUUUGACAUGCGAAAGUGAUCUUAUUUAUGUGGAUCAAGAGAAGUGUGAAUUCCAUAAGAUUCUAAAUGCUGUAGUAAGCAGCUCUACCCUGUUCCCACUCAGUUAUGAAUGUCACAAUGUUCCAUGUGCAUGCACCAUGUGCUCAGUAACAUAGACUAAUAAUUGGAUUUUUUUUGUUCAUUAGUCUCUUUAGUCAUGUAGAAAACCAAAGUAGCACUAGAUUUUAUAGUGGUCAUGAAUUUGCCUUUACCAGAGCACUUUCUGUCUUUAUCCAGCUGUAAAAUCCUAUUGAAUGUCUUUCAGUUCAACUCAAAGAAAUCUCCACAUGUCCACUAGUGACCGAGUCCCUUAUCCCUUGUUUAUCCAACGUUGUAGUUCAAUUUUAUGUGUGUCCCUCCAAAGAUCCUGUUGAAAGAUCAAUCCAAAGGUAAAAGUAUUGGGAGACAUGGGCCUGAUGAGGUGGUCAGGCCAUGAGGCUCAGACAUUAUGAGCAGAUGUGUGCCUUUAGAAAAGAAUCCUUGUGUAGCAUGCAUGAGGCUGUGAAUUGGUCCCCAGCAAAACACACACACACACACACAUACAUACACACACAUACACACACAAACUCGUACAGAUAUGAGCACGCUUAUUAAGCCAGGAAUGGUGAUGCACAUCUGUAAUAUUGAUACUGGUGAUGAGAAUCAGGGCCAAGUCUUGUUCCCCUGAUAUAAAUAUUGAACACCUGAGAAAUGCUGAGACAGUGUAGAAGGCAAGUUUUAUUUAAAGGAUAAAAUAGAGACAGACUUCUACAAAGAGAAGGGGACCCAGAGCUGGGUGUCUGAGGAAGUGGGGGUGUCCUGCCCCUUUUGUACAUUUUACAUUUUCUUUGCUCUCAUGCUCUCUCCUCCCUGCAUUCUGCCCAUGUGACCCAAAAUGUGGAGUGAUCCAAGGGUAGAAAUUAAGCCACCCAGGGGUACAGAUAUGAAGGGAGUGGUUGGGGAAGCAUUCAUUAACACCUGUUUGUAGAAAGGAACAAUUCUAUGAAAGCAGGUAACAUUGGCAACAGGUUGAGGAGGAGGGGAAGGGAUUCAGAGGUAUUAGCAUUUUAUUCCCUUUCGUUUUGAACCAGCCCCCAUAGUCCCAAACUGACUCAAUUAUUUGUUACCUACAUGGACUACCCUUUACUCCCCAGACUCAAUCCCAGCUACUCUGGAGCCUGAGGCAAUAGAAUACAAUCUCAAGGCCAGUCUGGUAACUUAGUGAGACCCAGUCUCAAAAUGUAAUAAAAAGAGCUGGGAGGGAGCUCAGUGGUUGUAGUGGUUAAUUUGAAUUGUCAAUUUGAUCAAUAAAGAGAUGUCAAAGAUUAAGAGGCUUCUGGGUGUUUCUAGGAUGAUUGGAAAGUGGGGUAGUGAACUGAAGUGGAUACACUCCUUUAGUGUGCGCAGCACCAUCCAAUAAAUUGGAAGAUAGGAUGGAAUAAAGGUUGGAAGAACAAGAAAGCAACAGCAGAUACAAACUCAAUUCUUCUGGAAUGGGUUCUUGAUUUCUUCUGUGAUUGCCUGAGGACCUCAGACCUCUUCUCUUCACUCUUACAAAGCAGACUAAUGAUUCUUCAGGGAGUUUCCAGAAACCUUCAGUCUUGAACUAGGAUAGCAUCAUUGAUCCCUCUUGUUCUGAGGCUUCAGCAUUUUGGACUGUGUAGCUACUGGUUCCUCCAUCUCUCCAACCUGCAUACAGCCUUGUGGACUAUCCAGCUUCUGGUUGUGUAAGC